GGACGGUUAGCUCAGUCGGGAGAGCACCUGCCUUACAAGCAGGGGGUCGCAGGUUCGAGCCCUGCACCGUCCACCA
rnacentral:tRNA from 2 species